UACGUAGGGGGCGAGCGUUGUCCGGAUUCAUUGGGCGUAAAGAGCUCGUAGGCGGUCUUGUAAGUCUUGUGUGAAAUCCCUCGGCUUAACUGAGGAACUGCACGGGAUACUGCGAGACUUGAGAUCGGGAGAGGGAAGCGGAAUUCCGGGUGUAGCGGUGAAAUGCGUAGAUAUCCGGAGGAACACCGGUGGCGAAGGCGGCUUCCUGGACCAUUACUGACGCUGAAUCGCGAAAGCUAGGGGAGCAAACGGG
rnacentral:rRNA from 1 species